GUGUGUAGCCAGUGCCAAGAAGAUCCUUUCAACAUUAAAGGAAGAUAUUUUAUGAAGGAUAUUAUUAUUCACUAUUCACUAAAUAUGGAUGGUUUUAUUCCUGGCAAUUAAUAGUAGAUGAUAAGCCGCCAGCUCAACGCAAUUAAUCAUUACUAAACAUAGAUCAAAUUGGUUGGCUAUAUAUAUACAAACAUAUAGCAGUUAGCAAGUAUACCGUUGUCGACCAUAUGCAAAAAAAAAUCCUUACAAACUAAAACUACUCAUAUUAGCAAGGAUAAAGCUUAUAUUACCAUGGACAGAGGCAAGGUGAUUAUGCUUGUGAUGGUCAUCCUUCCAUGCCUCAUAAUAUUUUCUCAGGGUGAGUACCCAAAAAUAAUGAGUUGAACUUCUCGUAAAGAUAUUGGUUAAUCUUAUAUGAUCUUGGGAAAAAAUCCCAUUGAGAACCAUCACUAAGUUAUUUUGAAAUUUUGUAUAAAUUUUUGUAAUACCUAAUUGAAUGAGAACACACUUAUUUGCAUAUGCAGCUCAAGCAACUGAUCAGCUGGAUAGCGGUAAGAUCGAGUUAUGCAUAUGCCCAGAGAAAGAUCCACCUGCCCAAAUGGUUUGUGCUUCUGUUGUGCACUGGAGCAAGAACGUUGCUCUAGGACUAGGAAAGAAUGCAUUUGUGAACCUGGUUGCCACCAACCUCCUUCAGAUGCAACCUACCCCCGUCCCCUCUCUUUGCCUUAAAACACUGUUUCAGAUUGUUGUGAUGAAAAGUAUUGUCAUGAAUAUCUUGGAGUAAAGAAAUAAGUUAUAAUCAUCACAUGGUUAGCUUUAUGUUCCUUUGGAUUGAAUUGAUAUAUAGUCAUAUUCUUAUGUUUCCAAAGUGUAGCAUGGGCUAUAUAUGCCAUGAACUACUGGGAGUAUGAACUUUUUAAGGUAUAUUUUUG
rnacentral:lncRNA from 1 species